AUAUAUAUUAAAAAAAAAAAAGAAAAGCAAGACAAAAAAAAAUCUGUUCGCUCAAGGAUUUAAUAUUCUUUCAAUUUUCAUUAAGUGCGAAUACACUUAAGUUCAAAAGCACACUCCAGGACUCCAGCAGAUAGAAGAUAUACACCAAUUCUGUGUGUUUCCUACUAGGUACUCCUUUCUCGAUUCUCCCCCUCUUUUAUGGAAGGAAAAACCAUGGAAUAUUUAUCGAUAUCAACAAUUGCCUUGGCAAAGGAUGUAGAAAAUCUAUUGGAAUUCUAGCAGGCAAACACCACACACCAAAAAAAAAAAAAAAAGUAGAAGAACCAUGCAGACAAGGGAUACACUUUUUUUCUUGUUGGAUAUAUUUGAGAUGAUAAUGGCGAGAGUCCUUUUUCCUUGGCAGAGAUUUUGGAUUUGAAAAUUUAAUACAAAAAAAAAAAAAUCCAAAGAAAA